rnacentral:misc_RNA from 1 species
GUUUGCCUUAUCGGGCACAGCGGAGGCAAACGCCCUUUCUCUCUCUUGCACCAGCGCCCCGCCGUGCGCUCUUGCUCGACUGCUGCUUUAUGCCUUUACACAACCCGAUAGAGCCUCUGGAAAUGUCCCAAUUAUGGGUGAAGCGCGCAAAGGCGGAGAUGACGCGGCACUCGCGGGUGCUAGAGACGAUCAACCGCGUAUUUCCCAUGCCGUUCGAGGAGCGUCGCUCUCGUGUUGGCAUGACGAGCUACGCCACGUACCGCUGGCUGCGUUACUUCCCCGUUAUUCUGGUGCCCGUGGUUGUCAUGGGAACGCUCCUGGAAACGCGUGACAACCCGCAGGAGCACGUCUUUACGUCGCUACACCUGUGGCUCGCUGACCAUGGCGUCUUCCGUCACGACACUGUGAAGGCGUUGAACCCAGCCUUUGAGGAUGAGCGGCGCUCAAUCGAGUGGAAAGCAAAUGACCGCAAGUGGCGCUUCACCGGCAUGGAUAUGCCAUCAGAGCGAGAGAUACGCGAGUUUGCUGCCAUCAACAUUGAUCGUCAAUCGCGGCGUCAACUAUGAGUCGGUGGCAGCGGGCAGGUGAUGUCAGCCGUGCGUCGCACAGUCACGGCGACGGCGCUCUCUUUGUUCUGCUAUCGACGCAACCCGAAGUCGAGGGGUGCUUGCUGUUCUUUUCGCGUUUUCGUGAGCGCGGUAGAGGGCUCGCUGUACAGUCGCGGGAUAUUCUUUUCCUGGUGUGCGUGUGGACUCGUGAGCGUGUUCCGUCUGUCUGUGCGCUUUUUUCUGUCAGGUCAACCAUCUUUUUUUCGUCUGAUGCGCGGCCAUGUACGUGCGCGUCGCCGUCUUCGCAGACGCAUUGCGUUUGAGCUUGCCUUGUCGCGUUUACACACGGAUUUGAGAGCAUGGCGGAUUGAACGUAUUUACGAAGGCUCCCCCCUCCCCAAAGAAAAAUCCAUGAUGAGCCAGCGAGGGCCCAUAAACGGCUGUCUUCUCUGCUGCGGCGCAGCUACCGGCUAGCCACGCAGACGAAGUCGCAUACUCCAUGGUCUUUUACACGUACGCUGCUUUCGAUUUCACAAUGUCCAUCCGAAUCGUGCCCCUUUUCUCGGUGUUCCCCUCUCACCUCCCCUUUCUACCAUUCCUUUCUUUCCCUCAUCCGUCACGUUCAUUCUUUGGCGAUCCACCCUAUCCGCGCGCGCUCAAACACACAAG